ensembl:lncRNA
AUGGGACUGUGUUACUUAUUUUCUGGCGUGACUUGGGGAGGACCCCUGAGAGUACGGACACGCGGGUGGCCCCAGGGCUUCCGGUCCCCCCAUCGCUGCUGCCGUAGGCGACCUCGUGAGCCCCGCGUGCCUGGUCACUGGCGGGCUGGUUGCCAGCUCUGCGUGGUGAACUCUGCUGCCCCUCGUUGGUUUCCCGUCAUUUUGCUUCCUUUUCAGGCUCCAGUCAGAACAAUGCUGGGAAAGAGGGAAGCUUUUAUCUUUUCAAUUUUCUCUCCAGCUUCCCUCCUGCCCCCUGUGCCUGGUUCUUCCAGGUGGCAACUCUGUCACCCGCACAACAAAAGCAGAUCGUUUCCAGUUUCACAGUCUCGCUGGUAUGACAAUUCUUCUUCACGGCUGAUUUCAGCCCCCGCUUUCCUAAGGUCUGGUGUUUUAAACACAUUUUCUUGGAGCCUCAACAUGUUCUAUGCAUUUUUCACAGCAUGGACGUUCUGGUAAGGUUAAACAGUUUGCCGUUCAUGACUUACCGUGGCAAGUCUGUGUUUGUCGUUUGGCUUUGUGUGUUAUUUUUAUUCCGGUAUAACUGACGUAUACAGUUACAACGGCUGCAGGUGUGCCAGGUGGUGACUUUUUUUUUAUCUAUACUGUGAGAUGAUCCCUCCAUGAGUCUAGGUAGGUCUGUCAGCAUCGUUGGUUACAGCGUUGUGCUUCUUCCUUGUGAGGGUACCUGUUAAGACUGACUCUCAGCAGCCUUCAAAGGCGCACCGCCGAAUGACCAACUCUCAUUGCUCUUUGGCAGCCGCCUCCUCACGCUGCGUUUAUUUGAUAACUGGAGGUUUGUACCUUUGGACACCCUUUAGCCCUCCCCUCCACCCCCACUGCCUUUGGCAUCAGCCGUCUGUUCUCUGUAUCUGUGAGGCUGGUUUUUGUUCGUGGUACAAGGUGAGACCCUGCAGCCUUUGUGUUUCUCGGGCUGCUUCUUCACUGAGCGCAAAACCCUGGAGGUCCAUCCGCGCUGCUGCUGCUGAAAACAGCCUGGUUUCCUCCUUUGUGGCGGAACCAACAGUGUCCGUGGUGAGUGUAUUUUACAGUAUACGUCUCACGUCCUACAUAGGUGGACCCUAGGUUGCUUCCACGUCUUGGCUGCUGUGAAUAACGCCGCAGUGAACAUCGGGGCGCAAAUCAUCUUUUCACGUUGGCGCUGCGUUUCCGUCAACUGCGCAGAAACGGAGCCGGAGCAUGUUUUCUGAGUGUGCUGACCACUCGCUCCCGCACCCAGAUCUGUCAGCGUCCUUCUGGUCUAAGCCCUGGGCUUGGAGCAGUUUUAGGCCCCGUGGAACUUGGGGUUCGGGUUUCUGAAAGGAUGAAGAGCCAUGGCCUGAAAUCUUGGGGUGUCUCAGAGUUUUCCGAGACCUGUGCAGGUGACAGCUGCUGUCCUUUCUGCUCUAAGCUGGCCUUGGGAGCCGCAACCAGGAGGGCCACACCUGGAGCUGAGCCAGCGGGACAAGCCGCCAGGACACCGGGUGGGGUGUGAUGCGGCCCGGCAGUGUGGUUGAAUGACAGCGGUCAGGGCGAAUGCUCACCAAGGGCCGUUUCACAUCUGCCUCCGCAGUCCCGACGUUCCCUCUUCUGACGGGUGGAGGACGGGGUGACGGCAGGUGACCGGGCCGGGAGGGGACAGCCAGGACC